UACGAAGGGGGCUAGCGUUGCUCGGAAUCACUGGGCGUAAAGCGCACGUAGGCGGAUCUUUAAGUCAGGGGUGAAAUCCCAGAGCUCAACUCUGGAACUGCCUUUGAUACUGGGUAUCUGGAGUAUGGAAGAGGUGAGUGGAAUUCCGAGUGUAGAGGUGAAAUUCGUAGAUAUUCGGAGGAACACCAGUGGCGAAGGCGGCUCACUGGUCCAUUACUGACGCUGAUGCGCGAAAGCGUGGGGAGCGAUCCGG
rnacentral:rRNA from 1 species